GACGAACGCUGGCGGCGUGCCUAAUACAUGCAAGUAGAACGCUGAAGGAGGAGCUUGCUUCUCUGGAUGAGUUGCGAACGGGUGAGUAACGCGUAGGUAACCUGCCUGGUAGCGGGGGAUAACUAUUGGAAACGAUAGCUAAUACCGCAUAAUAGUAGAUGUCGCAUGACAUUUGCUUAAAAGGUGCAAUUGCAUCACUACCAGAUGGACCUGCGUUGUAUUAGCUAGUUGGUGAGGUAACGGCUCACCAAGGCAACGAUACAUAGCCGACCUGAGAGGGUGAUCGGCCACACUGGGACUGAGACACGGCCCAGACUCCUACGGGAGGCAGCAGUAGGGAAUCUUCGGCAAUGGACGGAAGUCUGACCGAGCAACGCCGCGUGAGUGAAGAAGGUUUUCGGAUCGUAAAGCUCUGUUGUAAGAGAAGAACGAGUGUGAGAGUGGAAAGUUCACACUGUGACGGUAUCUUACCAGAAAGGGGCGGCUAACUACGUG
rnacentral:rRNA from 1 species